rnacentral:rRNA from 1 species
UACGGGGGGGGCAAGCGUUGUUCGGAAUUACUGGGCGUAAAGGGCUUGUAGGUGGCCAACUAAGUCAGACGUGAAAUCCCUCGGCUUAACCGGGGAACUGCGUCUGAUACUGGAUGGCUCGAGUGUGGGAGAGGGAUGCGGAAUUCCAGGUGUAGCGGUGAAAUGCGUAGAUAUCUGGAGGAACACCGGUGGCGAGGGCGGCAUCCUGGACCAUAACUGACACUGAUAAGCGAAAGCCAGGGGAGCAAACGGG